rnacentral:rRNA from 1 species
AUUGAACGCUGGCGGCAGGCCUAACACAUGCAAGUCGAGCGGAUGAAGGGAGCUUGCUCCUGGAUUCAGCGGCGGACGGGUGAGUAAUGCCUAGGAAUCUGCCUGGUAGUGGGGGAUAACGUCCGGAAACGGGCGCUAAUACCGCAUACGUCCUGAGGGAGAAAGUGGGGGAUCUUCGGACCUCACGCUAUCAGAUGAGCCUAGGUCGGAUUAGCUAGUUGGUGGGGUAAAGGCCUACCAAGGCGACGAUCCGUAACUGGUCUGAGAGGAUGAUCAGUCAAACUGGAAAUGAGACACGGUCCAGACUCCUACGGGAGGCAGGAGUGGGGAAUAUUGGACAAUGGGCGAAAGCCUGAUCCAGCCAUGCCGCGUGUGUGAAGAAGGUCUUCGGAUUGUAAAGCACUUUAAGUUGGGAGGAAGGGCAGUAAGUUAAUACCUUGCUGUUUUGACGUUACCAACAGAAUAAGCACCGGCUAACUUCGUG